GACGAACGCUGGCGGCGUGCCUAAUACAUGCAAGUCGGACGCAGUUUCGCACGGGUGAGUAACGCGUAGGUAACUACCUACUAGAGGGGGGUAACUCUUGGAAACGAUAGCUAAUACCGCAUACUCGUAGAUGGACCUGCGUGUUAUUCGCUAGUAGGUAGGGUAAUGGCCUACCUAGGCAACGAUACAUAGCCGACCUGAGAGGGUGAUCGGCCACACUGGGACUGGGACACGGGCCAGAAUCCUAAGGGAGGCAGCCGGAGGGAAUCUUCGGGAAUGGGGGGAACGUUGAACGAGCAAAGCCGCGGGAGUGAAGAAGGUUUUCGGAUCGGAAAGCUUUGGUGUUAAGGAAGCGGUACCUAACCAGAAAGGGACGGCUAACUACGUGCCAGCAGCCGCGGUAAUAC
rnacentral:rRNA from 1 species